AUUCAUGUCCUGAUGGCUACGAUCUCAACUAUACCCUACCGAUGUUUAAGAGGUGUGAUGCGAAGAUGGUUAAUGGUAGCCUGGUGCAGCUCAUCCCCAAGCUCAUUCCUCGGCAAUUAGGCGCUCAGAGUUGCAACUACGGACGACGUCACGACGGUGUUCCGGCGGGUUAUCGUAUUUGCCGUAUUCCAGAUUGCUUGAGCAAUCCAUGUCAAAGUGGGUGGUGUGAAGAACAGAUGACUAACUACACUUGUCAUUGUCUACCAGGAUUUGUUGGAAUACAUUGCGAAACUGAGAGUACCACAGCCACACCAGAAAGUAAAUCGCUGUCAACUCAACGAAAUACUGCA